rnacentral:rRNA from 1 species
UACGGGGGGGGCAAGCGUUGUUCGGAAUUACUGGGCGUAAAGGGCUCGUAGGUGGCCAACUAAGUCAGACGUGAAAUCCCCGGGCUCAACCCGGGAACUGCGUCCGAUACUGGCAGGCUUGAAUUCGGGAGAGGGAUGUGGAAUUCCAGGUGUAGCGGUGAAAUGCGUAGAUAUCUGGAGGAACACCGGUGGCGAAGGCGGCAUCCUGGACCGAUAUUGACGCUGAUGCGCGAAAGCCAGGGGAGCAAACGGG